ACGGGGUGACCCAGGGAGCUGUGGGGUGGGGGAGGUGGAGUGUGCUGAGCUCUGAUGUGGACAGGGGUAGGGGUAGCUGGUCAGCGUGCUGCGCUAGGGGGCCUGUGCUGCUUUGGGACCUGGCAGCCUCUUGGCCUCUGACAGGUGCAGAGCGUGUUAGGGCCUGUGGGGUGAAUGGGGUCUUUGUGGCAGAGGAUUCACCCUGCAGAGAGAGAGAGAUAGAUAGAGAGAGAGAAAGAGAAAGAGAAAGAAAAGAAGAAAGAGAGGGGGAGACAGAGAUCGAGACCGGUAGAAUGGGAGAAUGGAAGACAGCAACAGAUCGUGAGAUGGAUGGAAAGAGAAAGAAAGAAAAAAAGGGAGAGAGAGAGAGAGAGGGAGAGAGGGGCAGAGCCAUGUAAGGCAUGGGCAGCAGGGCCCAGGGGCUUAUCGGCUGAGGUUGGAGCGUUAGGAAGGAAGCCUGUGAGUGUGCUGGGCAAGGAUAGGGUGGAGCUGCGGUAAGACUGAGAGAGGAGUGAGAGGAGUGCCACUCUUCCCUUCCUUGGACCCCCACUCUCAAGAGUGAUCGCUGGGGACAGUGGUGGGUGGGGAAAGGGGGUGGGGUGUCAGCUCUAUGAGUAAGUGUUAUCACAACGUUCAAUCGCUGAAAGAGUAGGCCGCGUUUUUUUUUUUUAUAUAUCCUCUGUGUGCUCUAAAUCUGAUAUCAUGAGAUACUGUGCGUCACAGAGCUGUGCUGUUCAAGAAGAGCCAAAAAUGGAAAAUCAAGAAUGGUCAAUGAACUAAAAUGAAUGUGCUUCUUUGGUGGCCACUUGCAUUUUAUUAUUUUGUUAUGUUGUAUACACAACAAAUAAAAACAAAAAAUUUGUCGAGCAUUCCAUUGAGAGAGGGAGGCGAGCUCUGAAUUCAUAUUUGAGUGUUUACGUUUCAGGUUCUCAGUUCUCUCGUCCUGUCCCAAAGUGGGGUUAUUUAAAGAGACCAACAUGCUGUUACUGAAGCUUACUGAGACAUCAGGGCUGCAGGGCUGUUAUGUGUGCGAGUAGCGUGUGUGUGUGUGUGUG
ensembl:lncRNA